rnacentral:misc_RNA from 1 species
GAUGAAGAACGCAGCGAAAUGCGAUAAGUAAUGUGAAUUGCAGAAUUCAGUUAAUCAUCGAAUCUUUGAACGCACAUUGCGCCCGCCAGUAUUCUGGCGGGCAUGCCUGUCCGAGCGUCAUUUCAACCCUCAAGCCCCCGGGCUUGGUGUUGGAGAUCGGCGAGCCCCCCGGGGCGCGCCGUCUCCCAAAUAUAGUGGCGGUCCCGCUGUAGCUUCCUCUGCGUAGUAGCACACCUCGCACUGGGAAACAGCGUGGCCACGCCGUAAAACCCCCCACUUCUGAAAGGUUGACCUCGGAUCAGGUAGGAAUACCCGCUGAACUUAAGCAUAUCAAUAAGCGGAGGA